UACAGAGGUCUCAAGCGUUGUCCGGAAUCAUUGGGCGUAAAGAGCGUGUAGGCGGUCCGGUAAGUCCGCUGUGAAAGUCGGGGGCUCAACCCUCGAAUGCCGGUGGAUACUGUCGGGCUAGAGUGCGGAAGAGGCGAGUGGAAUUCCUGGUGUAGCGGUGAAAUGCGCAGAUAUCAGGAGGAACACCUAUUGCGAAGGCAGCUCGCUGGGACGUAACUGACGCUGAGACGCGAAAGCGUGGGGAGCAAACAGG
rnacentral:rRNA from 1 species